UCGGGCUGGGCAGCAUGGCGGUGGCGGCAGGUUUCCGAGGCUCGCGGUGCGGGCGGAGGGCGGCUCCCGCGUUCAACAGGCUGUGCAAGGAAGCGGACUGGUUUUGUACACGCGGAACUUCCUGCCUGCCAGUAAUUGGAUCGGAGGAUGCACCCCUGGUCCUUGCAGGGCGCCGCAGCCCAGCGGUUUCCCAGUUUAGCCCGGUGGCGGCUGAACCACAGUUUCCAUUCGGUCAGCCCCGUGUUUUUGCGCAAAGCGACACACCAUCCGGGAGAGGCCCAGGAUGCUCGUGGGAUCCAGCGUUUCGGCAUCUUGAAAAAAUAAAACAUCGAGCACAUCAGCCAGUGAAUCUCACUGCGUCCUUUGAAGUCCACAGAAUGCUUGCAUUGGUGUCUACACUUCCCGCUUUCCAGUUUGCAUGAAAGAGGCAGGUGCAUUCUGGAACCGUGACCCCGAUCCUGAUAAAGAACACUUCCGGGCUGCCAAGAGGCCUCGGCUUCCUCCCACCAGUCGUUAACUCCCGCCUCAAGCUGUUAAGCACCGGAAAUGAUUCUUUGAACAAAAAAAAGCAUAGGUCCACAUACAGCUGGUGGUUCCACGGAGUUCCCUGGGAACUGAGGCCUCGUACCGCAAGGGUGGUCAUGGAAAGUCCAGGCCCAGAAUGCGGCUAGGCCCGGGCGCCCCCUCCCCUGCGGUGUGCACCCCGGAGACGCCAGCCUUGCAGCUGACAAGAAUGUCCCAGGAUCGCGGUUCUUAAGGCACAGCUCUCUGGAGUAGCCUGUGAGGAGUGCGCCUUCUCUGGCCCUCCCUCAGGCUGGCUGCAGGAGAAAUUCCGGGGUGGCCCAGCAGCCUCCCACCUAACAAGCCGUGCAGGGGGGACGGGUCCCUGGUACGUGAGAGGGAAAUAACGCACCUGCCUUCCGUUCCCAGAGGAUUGGGGUUCUCGGUCAGGGUCUUGUCGGGUUUUCCUCGGACCGAGACACCUCCCGAUUUCGGUUUCCUCGCGAAGCUCCGUGGGCUGUUGGCACGGGGGGUGAAGCCUCUCCCGGAUCCGCGUCAGGUUUCUGCAGAGGCGGAACGUGGGUUUGCACACACUUCUCGGUGCCGCCGUGAGCGUGGAAGGUGCCAGUCUGCCUCCGGGCACGGGCCUUCAGGGCCCACGGGAGUCCUGGCCCCCAGCCGCCCCUGUCCCCUGCUGCACCUGGUGUUCGGUAGGUGUGUCCCACACGUGUUUGUUGAACAGAUAAAGAAAAUGUUGUCCCGUGUGUUUUCAACUCGAGACCCUUCCGAGACAACAGCUCGGGUUAACGGGCUCGGCCAAGUGCGUUCGUGCAUCUAAGCGUGCGUCCUAGCCACUGUGUCACAAAGCGAGAAGUGUGUUUUUGUUUUUGUUUUUGAGAGACGGAGAGAGCAAGCAGGGCUGGGGCAGAGAGAGACAGGGAGAGAGAGACAGAGAGAGAGAGAGGAUCCCAGGCAGGCUCAGCACAGAGCCUGAUGUGGGGCUUGAACCCACAAACCGUGAGAUCAUGACCUGAGCCGAAACCAAGAGUCAGAUGCUUAACCGACUGAGCCCCCCAGGCGCCCCGAGAAGUGUGUUUUUGGAUUUUCUGUCAGUAGUUGGCGUAUUCCCGGUGCUCAGCCUGGAGUUGGGGAAGCGGUGUUGGGCUCUGGGAACAGUGACAUCGAUGGAAACCCCUGUGGGGUGACCCCAAAUCUUCCCGAGAAACAGCACCACACAAAAGAGGUCUGUGUGACAUGAGCCCCUGUGCUCAGGGCCGUGUGAGUGGCCUGGGCCUUCUGUGUCCUCCUCAGGCUCCCCGCCGUGACGCUGGCCCCCAAGGCACGGUCAUGGCAGGAGGGCGUCCCUGACCAGGCACGGACACCUUGUCCUCACCCCCACUCUGGCCUCCACCCUCCCAGUGCGGCUGCCCCCCCACCAAACCUCACAAAACACCCACAUGUCACGACAGGGAAUGGGUUAGCUCAGCGCCCAGCAGCACCCACGGCGUCCAGUGCUGACCGCAGCUGCAACGGUCACCUCGGGCCAUCUGGACACCGCUCAGGCCGGUCCCCAGCCUACAUGCCCCUCCACGCCUCCCCCUGCAAGUCCCCCUCACUCUGCCUCCUCCUCCCCCGCAAGGAGGCUCCACUCUUCACCAAGUCAGGCCAGUCCUCGGAGCUUCAGAAGGGGGCU